rnacentral:misc_RNA from 1 species
GUGCUUACCCCUUACUACAGCUAAUUGACCGUGGCUUUCAAAACAAACAGGAGCGGGUGGGUAGCUGAUUUACCUUCCUUCAAGGGGUUGUCAUUCACGGAUGUCAAGUCAUACACAAAGGGAGUGUCGCGGCCGGAAUAUGAAUGAGUUUUUGUUUGAGCUUGAUGGAAAACAAAUUAUAUUGCAUCCCUUCAAAACAGCGUUCUCCAUUCUUGAAUCUCCCAACUUCUUAUUGUUUCUAAUUCGUCUUUAAAAAUCACAAUUUUAGGUCUUGGAAUUAGAGAUUAAAAUUUGGAUGCCGUAAGAGGAAGGAAGUCCAUGGUGGGAGGAGGAGACGAUGAUUCAUUCUUCCUUUGAAGAAAAACGACGAUGAUUCAAUAUCUUAUUCGCUUCCCACAACCUGGGUAUUGCUUGAAAUCAAUGGAGGUGGGGAUGGACUAAAAUCGCCGAAGGUUUUAUGGGGGUUGGAA